UGAGUGCGAGCGGCUACGGCCGCGAAGUGGGUGAUGUCAAGCUUCCAAGAAAAGCCCUAUACCCGUUAAGGCAUGAUGGCCUGUACCCGAAACCGACACAGGUGGGGUGGUAGAGAAUACCGAGGGGCGCGAGGUAACUCUCUCUAAGGAACUCGGCAAAAUGGCCCCGUAACUUCGGGAGAAGGGGUGCCACCGCAAGGUGGUCGCAGUGAAGAGGCCCAGGCGACUGUUUACCAAAAACACAGGUCUCCGCUAAGUCGCAAGACGAUGUAUGGGGGCUGACGCCUGCCCAGUGCCGGAAGGUUAAGGAAGCUGGUCAGCGCAAGCGAAGCUGGCGACUGAAGCCCCGGUGAACGGCGGCCGUAACUAUAACGGUCCUAAGGUAGCGAAAUUCCUUGUCGGGUAAGUUCCGACCCGCACGAAAGGCGUAACGAUCUGGGCGCUGUCUCGGAGAGAGGCUCGGCGAAAUAGAAUUGUCUGUGAAGAUGCGGACUACGUGCACCCGGACAGAAAGACCCUAUGAAGCUUUACUGUAGCUUGGUAUUGUGCCCGGGCUCUGAAUGCGCAGGAUAGGUGGGAGGCUUUGAUCCAUGGCUUGCGGGUCAUGGUGAGCCAACGGUGAGAUACCACUCUUUCAGAGCUAGGGUUCUAACGGUCACCCGUCAUCCGGGGACCGGACAGUAUCAGGUGGGCAGUUUGACUGGGGCGGUCGCCUCCUAAAAGGUAACGGAGGCGCGCAAAGGUUUGCUCAGGCUGGUUGGAAAUCAGCCGACGAGUGCAAAAGCAGAAGCAAGCUUGACUGUGAGACCUACAAGUCGAACAGGGACGAAAGUCGGCUUUAGUGAUCCGACGGUUCUGAGUGGAAGGGCCGUCGCUCAACGGAUAAAAGUUACUCUAGGAUAACUGGCUGAUCUCCCCCAAGAGUUCACAUCGACGGGGAGGUUUGGCACCUCGAUGUCGGCUCAUCGCAACCUGGGGCUGAAGUCGGUCCCAAGGGUUGGGCUGUUCGCCCAUUAAAGCGGUACGCGAGCUGGGUUCAGAACGUCGUGAGACAGUUCGGUCCAUAUCCGGUGCACGCGCAGGAACAUUGAGAGGAUUUCUCCCUAGUACGAGAGGACCGGGAGGAACGCACCUCUGGUGUGCCAGUUAUCGUGCCAACGGUAAACGCUGGGUAGCCAUGUGCGGAGUGGAUAACCGCUGAAAGCAUCUAAGUGGGAAGCCCACCUCAAGAUGAGUGUUCCCAUGGCAUAAGCCAGUAAGGUCACGGGAAGAACACCCGUUGAUAGGCUCUACGUGGAAGCCGGGUAACCGGUGAAGCGGAGGAGUACUAAUAGACCGAGGGCUUGACCA
rnacentral:rRNA from 1 species